rnacentral:rRNA from 1 species
CAAUAGCGUAUAUUAAAGUUGUUGCAGUUAAAAGCUCGUAGUUGGAUUUCUGGUGGGAGCGUCCGGUCCGCCCGGCAACGGGUGUGCACUGGUGGCGUCUCCGGCCACUUUAUCACCGAACGAUUCUGGCAUUAAGUUGUCGGGGUCGGGAGGUGGUUCAUUUACUGUGAAAAAUUAGAGUGUUUAAAGCAGGCAAUCGCUGUGAAUACAUUAGCAUGGAAUAAUAAGAUAGGACUUUGGUACUAUUUUGUUGGUUUGCAUACCAAGGUAAUGAUUAACAGGGACAGUUGGGGGUAUUUAUAUUUAGAUGUCAGAGGUGAAAUUCUUGGAUUUUCUAAAGAUAAACUACUGCGAAAGCAUUUACCAAGGAUGUUUUCAUUAAUCAAGAACGAAAGUUAGGGGAUCGAAGACGAUUAGAUACCAU